rnacentral:rRNA from 1 species
UACGUAGGGGGCUAGCGUUGUCCGGAAUCAUUGGGCGUAAAGCGCGUGUAGGCGGUCCGGUAAGUCCGCUGUGAAAGUCGGGGGGCUCAACCUCGGAUGCCGGUGGAUACUGUCGGGCUUGAGUACGGAAGAGGCGAGUGGAAUUCCUGGUGUAGCGGUGAAAUGCGCAGAUAUCAGGAGGAACACCAAUUGCGAAGGCAGCUCGCUGGGAC